rnacentral:tRNA from 1 species
GCCCUCGUAGCUCAGUGGCAGAGCGCGUCCUUGGUAAGGACGAGGUCAUGAGUUCAAUCCUCAUCGAGGGCUCCA